rnacentral:tRNA from 1 species
UGGGGUAUCGCCAAGCGGUAAGGCACCGGUUUUUGAUACCGGCAUUCCCUGGUUCGAAUCCAGGUACCCCAGCCAGUC